GCUUAUCAAGAGUGACGGAGGGACAGGCCCUGUGAAGUCCGGCAACCUGCAGUUUUUGCAAGGUGCCAAAUCCUGCGGUGAAACCGGAAGAUGAG
rnacentral:ncRNA from 1 species